rnacentral:tRNA from 1 species
GAAAAUUUAGUUAAUUUAUAACAAUGAAAUGUCAUUUCAUAGUAAAACUAAAUGUUUAAUUUUCU